GUGCUUGCUUCAGCAGCACAUGUACUAAAAUUGGAACGGUACAGGGAAGAUUAGCAUGGCCCCUGCGCAAGGAUGAGAUGACUGUUAAAAUUAAGUAUUAAGUAUAG
rnacentral:snRNA from 1 species